CAGGACCUGUCAGUGAAUGAGUUUAGAAUGGUGCUUUCAAUAAACCAUGAAAGCAAGAGCUUCCAUACAGCACACCAGGGCCUGUUGGUUUGUCUGUGUGAAACAGCAAGUGUCACUGAAAAUGGCAGCAACACAUCCAACAUGCCACAUUAGCUAGCUAUGUCUGUCCCUGUAGCUGUGCGGUUAGAGAGACUGAUAGCUACGCAGGGUCUCAGGUGCAAUUCCUGCUCUAGUCGGAGAGUCUAGCCUCUUGGGGGCUGGGUUAUGUGUUGCCAUUAUCACCAUUUUACCUUUUUUUUUCAAAUGCAAAUCACCAAAGUGGUAUCAUCUGGUGAAGACUUGCAGUAGGCAGUCGAAAGAUUCUGCAUAGGAUCUCCUGGACAGAAAUGCUAUACGGUCAUUUCAUUUCGCUCUAGGGCUCUAGAGUAAUCAGUGAGUAGCUGUGUACACUAUGAUGCUUUGUCAUGACUGACGCCUAGCAUGGCAAUACAGCAUGCCACUAUAAUGGUGUCAACAGUGUUGGAUAGUUUGUCUGCUCCAAUGGAUGGUGGUGCAUGAGAAAUAGACUUGUCAGGAAGGCCAGUCGGACCUAUGUACCCCAGUUUUGCAGUUUGGCCAGUGGAUAUUUGGAGCAAAUCCACUAACACUCAGGGAUGGGUGACAAAUGCAUAGGCAUGAACAGGUAUUACAUUGAGCCUGAAUCACAGUCAUCACUGCCCAACUCGGCUUGGGAACGGAGUGAUCUAGCAGUGCUACCAUUCUAGGCUGGUGGCAAAAUCAGCAUCAGUUCCUGGCAGUGCAUAAUAUCCCACAUGUCAGCAGAACUGCCGUACCAGCGACUGGUGAAGAAGUAAGGAAGAUUGAUGUUUGAGAUCCUGUCAACAGUGAAGUCAUCAGAAACAGAGCACAAGCUCUGGCACUUUCAAGGACAGAGAAGAAAAUCUACCUUGGCCAUUCAAAGGAUUUGCCUUAAGGAAUUUAGGGAAAUAAUAAAAAACCUAAAUCUGGAUGACAGGACACAGAAGAUAACCAACGUGUUCCACAAUACGAGACCAACAUGCUAGCUAAUGUGCUAUAAAUCUUCAUCCAGAAGUGGUCUCAGUAACUUGUUGGUUACUUCUGUACCAGGAACUGCCAUGGGUAUGUGGCCUGAGGAGUUUGUUUUCUUCACUGGAAACAUUCUCCUCUGCAGUUCAAGUUUUCUCUUGUGACUCCUUUGUGGGCUAAUGAAAGAGAUGCUGGUGUGAGCAGCACCUACAUUAAUUGACGUCACCAUUUUGUUAGCCAGCUGAACUUCAGUAGCUGACAUACCAGAAACAAUUUCUUUAAACCUAGAAAUAAUUUUUCUCUUCUCUUCUGCCAAUGCUUCUGGGGUACAGGAUUUAGCAUUUCCACUUACUUGCUUCAGAAUCACUUCUUUCUCAUUAGUGCAAGACAUAUCUCCAACAUUUGUAGCUACUGCAUCUUGUAAUUCAGAAAUUUCAAAAGGAUUUUGUUCUGUACUGUCUAUGCAUCUUGUAAUUCAGAAAUUUAAAAAGGAUUUUGUUCUUUACUGUCUAGUUGGCAAACAUUAUGUAUAUGCUUGCACAUAUUUAACUUAAUGCUGUAAUCAAUACACAUGCAGGACUACCUAUGAAUGCACACUUUACAGUCAGUGCACACUAAUUUACAGUCACAGAAGAUGAUAUUUUCUUCUACAAGGUAAACUUCAUGUGUUUUUGUGGCUGGUACUU